GACUCUGUCCCAUGCAAGGAAAAGGAGGGCAAAGUCCACGUGGUCUCCGUCCUCGCUAGAGCAGGUGAGGGGAGCCUGGGUGGAGGUGAAUUCGUUUAGGGACAAUCCGUUAUGUAUUUGUUGACUUCUGGUGUGUGGGCUGGGGGCCCCCACAGAGACUAGAGCCUUGAAAUCUGGAGAAAUAAAAGCAGAACAGCUCCUUUCCCCGACUAUUUCACCCCCAAAGGUCUCCCCGUCAUGCCAUGAUGUCCUCGCAUGGAGGAGGAGCAGGCCCUACGGUAUCCA